rnacentral:rRNA from 1 species
AAUCAACGCUGGCGGCGUGCCUAACACAUGCAAGUCGAACGAGAAAGUGGAGCAAUCCAUGAGUAAAGUGGCGCACGGGUGAGUAACACGUGACUAACCUACCCUUGAGUGGGGGGAUAACCUAGGGAAACCUGGGCUAAUACCGCAAUAAUACCUACGGGUACAAAGGAGCAAUUCGCUUUGGGGAGGGGGUCGCGGCCGAUUAGUUAGUUGGCAGGGUAAUGGCCUACCAAGACGAUGAUCGGUANCCGGCCUGAGAGGGCGCACGGACACACUGGAACUGAAACACGGUCCAGACUCCUACGGGAGGCAGCA